GGCCCGGGCGAGUUCGACGGGACGGUGGCGGCCCUGAACCGCCGGGUCGCGCCGGGCGACCUGUCGGCGUUCCGGACCGCCGCCCGGACCGC
rnacentral:tRNA from 1 species